CCCCCUAUAGCUCAAUGGUAGAGCACUCGGCUGUAGCCCGGGUUACCCCAGUCCGAUUCUGGGUGGGGGGA
rnacentral:tRNA from 1 species